rnacentral:rRNA from 1 species
CCUACGGGAGGCUGCAGUGGGGGAUAUUGCACAAUGGACGAGAGUCUGAACCAGCCAAGUAGCGUGAAGGAUGACUGCCCUAUGGGUUGUAAACUUCUUUUAUAUGGGAAUAAAAUGUUCCACGUGUGGGAUUUUGUAUGUACCAUAUGAAUAAGGAUCGGCUAACUCCGUGCCAGCAGCCGCGGUAAUACGGAGGAUCCGAGCGUUAUCCGGAUUUAUUGGGUUUAAAGGGAGCGUAGGUGGAUUGUUAAGUCAGUUGUGAAAGUUUGCGGCUCAACCGUAAAAUUGCAGUUGAAACUGGCAGUCUUGAGUACAGUAGAGGUGGGCGGAAUUCGUGGUGUAGCGGUGAAAUGCUUAGAUAUCACGAAGAACUCCGAUUGCGAAGGCAGUUCACUGGACUGCAACUGACACUGAGGCUCGAAAGUGUGGGUAUCAAACAGGAUUAGAUACCCUAGUAGUC